GCCGCCCCUUUCUUGCCCUCUUCCAGUUGGCUGAACGUAGGCUGUAGGAGGCGUGGCUUCCCCUGGCUGCCGGCGGCCCGAUGUGCCUAUAUAUAGGGGGGCGGGUCUUCGGCUCGCGCCUUCCUUGUAGGAUCUGGACUGCUGCGGAGCUGGGUGGUGGCCUUUUCGGAGCCGCUCCAGAGCGGUCCGGGGCUGGAAGAUGAACGGGACGCGCAACUGGUGUACUCUGGUGGACUUGCACCCGGAGGGGGAGAGCGCGGCAACUGCAAAGUCCUACAAAAUGGUAUCUAACAGAUCAGGCAGUCAUUCUAUAGCAUCGGAGCUGGUAGAAUCCAAUGAUGGGCAUGAGGAAAUCAUCAAGGUUUACUUGAAGGGGAAAGCUGGUGACAGAAUCAUCCACGAGAAGAACAUCGAUCAGCUGAAAAGUGAAGUUCAAUACAUCCAAGAAGCUAGAAACUGUUUGCAGAAGCUUCGGGAGGAUAUAAGUAGCAAGCUUGAGAGAGACUCAAGGGAUUUUCCUCACCAACAGGAGAUGCAGGUGCUAUUGGAAAAGCCAAAUGGCUUCAGGCAGACUUCCACUGCCCUGUACAAGACCCCCUCUGAGACCUUGGCACAAAAUUAUCAAAAUCAAGAUCCUGAGAGUUUGAAGGAAACCGUCCAAGACCUGCUGGCUAGAUUGCAGGAGGCGGAGAGACGGCAUCAAUCUGACAAGGUACUUUUUGAGGCCACACUUAACCGGUACCAGAGAGAAGCUGAGAAGAGUAAUUCUGCCCUUCAGAAAGCUGAGAACAACUUGGAGCAGAGAGAUGCGGAAAUUCUAGAGCUCCAGAGGUGCAUGUUGGGGAUGGAGAAGGAACAACAGAGCUUACUGGAGAAGGUCAGGGAAGGGAAGAAGGCCCUGGAAGAGCUUCGGACCCAGAACACCGACGGCCUGGCACAACAGGAAAAGGUUACCCAGCUGGAAAAGGAAGUGGCUACUCUUCGGGAAAAGAUUCAUCACCUGGAUGACAUGCUGAAGAGUCAACAACGGAAAGUUAGACAGAUGAUAGAGCAGCUCCAGAAUUCUAAAACAGUGAUUCAGUCAAAGGACACAACCAUCCAGGAACUCCAAGAGAAGGUUGCCUACUUGGAAGCCGAGAAUUUAGAGAUGCAUGACCGAAUGGAACACCUGAUAGAGAAGCAAGUCAGUCCUGGAAAUUUCAGUACACAAACCCGAACCAAAAGUGAUGGCCUGGGAAGGUUGAAGAUGUUUUAUGGGAUGAUUGGAGAAGAAGAACAUGUAUGGAUAUAAAAGAACAGCAUCAGCUUCAUAGGACUGAAAAGGGUCUUGAAGCCAUUAUAUCUAUCUCACUACAUCCCUAAAGGGCACCAAACUUCUAAGAGCAUUAGGAUCUCCAAGCCUCCAAACCCUAAGCCCUUGCCUCUCAUCAGGGUGGUGGAAACCUGAGCUGCAUACUGAAUAUUGCUGCUUGCUACCCAUAUUAGCCUAAAGAGGAAAAACCACCUCCCUGUUGUAUUUUACUUCUUGACUGCUCCCUGGCUACUCCCAGGGCCUUGUGUUUUUAUAUCUAAUUCUUAAACUCCUUUCUUCUGUAUGCUGGGCAGACAGAGGAGGGGGUUGGGGGGUGCCGGUGGCCUUCCUCUGGAAACCUGGAGCCCUUUGGUACCACCACCACAGAAACCCCCCUUUGCUGUGGCCAGGACAAGGGCAGAGCCAUGAUUGUUGCUGACCUUCAUUAGAGAGGAGAUUUUUUUCUUCUGAAAGAGGGUGUCAAGGUGCCCUGGAAACCAGGGUUAUACAACAGGACUGGGACAGGGUGCCCUGGCUUGCCUCAGUCCUAACACAUGGAGAGAAAAAUAUCCCACUUGGACUGACUCUCAUCCUGAGGAACUGAAUCUCCUAGCAGCACACCCAUUUCCCCACUUCCUCUGUCCCCAACACUGCAGGGACUUAAUCCUACUCCCAAGAUGGUGGGAUAUAGACCUGGGUUGGAGGCUGUCUGGCUUCAUUGCUGAUGAAUCUCACCUUUGGUUAAGUCCCUGUUUUUUUGGGAGGAGAGUGAGACAGAAAAAUCUACAUUCAAAGAAUGGAUUUGUAGCAGGAAAAGGUCCUUAGGGACACUGACAGCUAUGCCCUCAUCCUUGUUGCCUUUGUCUUCUACCACAAUUCCCAGAAACCCUUGGAGUGUUUCGAUUUGUUUUUGUUUCUUUUUUCCCCCUUCCUUCCCCACCCCAAUUUAAAUUCAACCCAAGAAGCACUCCAGGCUUCCUGGUCCCAUUGCCUGAAGGAUAGUUUUUCUACCAGAUUGCAUCAGUCCCAGGGAAGUGGCUGUGUUUCCCCCCAUAUUUAUUUUCCUAAGUUAUUGGUGUCUUUUUGGUUAUGUCUUGUGGUUGUUUUAAUACCAAAGUUCUGGAACCUACUUAUAGAAUUGCUCAAAACUGGGAAAAGCUUUUUUUUUUGGGGGGGGGGGAUAUGUCUUUCAUCUUUCUCCUCUAUCUGUGUUUCCCUCUCCUUUUCCCAAGCUGAAUUUGUAGACCAGGGUAGGAGGGAGUGUAUGUGUGUGUAUAUGAGGGGAAGUGGGAGGGGACAGGAUGGGGAGGGAAUUGUAUAUUGAUUGUGCAGAAAAUUCCUGAUUAGGACCCUUUGAGAAAGGAUUGGGUGCCCCCCUCAAAUCUCCCUCUCCUUCCCUCUCUCCCACCACUCAGGGUCCUUUUUGGUAGUCUGCCUCUGAAGGAUCCCAUCUCCUCUUGGCCCCUGACUUCUAACCUCCGGUGAUGGAGAUAAAACAUCUGAGGACUAGUAGAGUCCUGCAGAAGAAUAUUAACCGAGAGCAAAGCUCUUAUUUGGUCACUUAGCUCUGCCUCUCUCAAAAGUGGAAGGCUUCAGUUUAUCUGUGUCUGUGUAGAGGAAGCCUGGUACCAGGCCCAGCCCUGCCUAGAACUUGCUCCACCACUGUGGGCAAGUCAUUCCAUGCUUCAGUUAACUCAUCUAUAAAUUGAAGGGCCUGAACUAGCCUAUUUCUGAAGUCUCUCUUGACUCUAAAAUGUGUUUCUAGCCUACACUCUUUAUGUAGUGAACUAAAUAAAUGAUAUCAAUGUGCCUCUUGA